UACGUAGGGGGCUAGCGUUGUCCGGAAUCAUUGGGCGUAAAGAGCGUGUAGGCGGCCCGGUGAGUCCGCUGUAAAAGUCAAAGGCUCAACCUUUGAAUGUCAGUGGAUACUGCCGGGCUAGAGUCCGGAAGAGGCGAGUGGAACUCCUGGUGUAGCGGUGGAAUGCGCAGAUAUCAGGAAGAACACCAACGGCGAAGGCAGCUCGCUAGGACGGUACUGACGCUGAGACGCGAAAGCGUGGGGAGCGAACAGG
rnacentral:rRNA from 1 species